ensembl:lncRNA
CUUUUAGCCCUCCAUCAGUUUCUUAACAUUGUACAUAGUACAUUGGCUAAUAACAUUUAGGCUUCAUAGUUUAUCAGGUGUAAUCCUUCUGGAUCCAAAGAACUGAAAUGAAAAGAAAAUGAACCACAAAAAAAUUCUCCAAAAAGCUAGCAGGAAGAAGGCUGAGGCCGGUAAAAUGAGCAGGAGACCAUCACCACCUUCCCUGGCUCCGGAUGAGGAGCCGGAACUGUCCCUUAAUCAAGGGUGACCCACGGUCGAUGGGAUUCCAGGGAGCAGUUCAUCAGCGUCAGCUGCCUAUCGUGAUAUGAGAGGCUUGGUAAAAUUUCAUAUAGGUCUCGUCAAUGGAAGGGCACAUAUGUGGCUGCAAAGUGGAUGGGUGGAGGGCUGUAAUUCCCAAAUAUGCGGUCAAUCAUCUUCUACAACCUGAGUGUACUGGCCUCAGCAGGGUAUGUGGAGAGGAUCUUCUCCAGGACGGCAAAUUAAUGGAGCGAUGUCCAUAACCAGUGCUUUGUGGAGCUCAUGAGGAAUGAGCUCCUGAUCUCACUCGACUUCGACCUGCCCUGUGCCGACUUUCAGUCAUUUUGAAAGAUAAGUCAUUGCUUAAUGCAGCAAGGAGGGAUUAAAAAGUACUCA